CCCACGAGGAGCCCACGCCUGCCGGGACCCGACCGGUGGUGAGGUAGGCCAGGGGUAGGGUGGAGCCGGAGGUAGGUCUGGCGGAGGCUCGUAGUAGCGAUACUGACGUGCAGAUCGUCCGUCGGCUCUGGGUGU
rnacentral:rRNA from 12 species